ACCUUCAACCUGGAUGCCAUCUUGAAGCCCCUCAAUAAAGCUUUGAAGGUCCAAAGAUUCUCCACUAAUGUCUUUACAAUACAUAGAGUAUCAUCAGCAUAUUGAAGAUGAGAUAUCACCAUCCCUUCCCUCCUAAAAUGGAACCUUCAAAUAAAUUUAGCCGCACAACAUUUCUCAUCAACCCACUAAAACCUUCCGCAACCGGAGAGAAACAAAAACAAGCGGAUCCACUUGCUUAAGCCCUUUUUGAAUAUUAAUUUCCUCUGUUAAGCUUCCAUUCACAAGGAUAGACAUACUCCCCCCAAACACACAACCCUUCAUCCACCUCACCCAUUACGCACAAAACCCCACUCUAAGCAACAUAUAAUCCAAAAAACUCCAAUCCACCGAGUCAUAUGCAUUUUCAAAGUCCGCCUUUAAAAUCAAACACUCACUCUUUGUUUUCUUCGCAGAAUCCACCAACUCAUUAACCACCAAAACACCGUAAACUAAGUUCCUACCUUUAAUAAAAGCCGAUUUGGAAGACGAAAUAAUUGAAUCCAUAACCUUGGUCAACCUCCUAGCAAGCACCUUUGAGAGAGAAAUUUAUAGAGACAAUCGCGCAAGGAAAUUGGUCUAAAAUCCUUUAAAUUCAACGGGGAAUUAAUUUUUUAUUAAGGCCACGAAAUAUGCCAACAAACUCUUCGGCACAACCUCAUUAGCAUGGAAUUGAUGAAACAUAAUUCUAAUCUCAUUCUUCAACAAGUACCAAAACUCCUUUACAAAUGCAAAAUUAAAACCAUUCGGCUCCGAACUGUUAUUAUCAUCACAAUCCUUCACUACCUCCUCAAUCUCAUAUAUUUAUGGCAGACUUAUCUUCUAUAUUUACAUUCAAGUAUCUUUGAUUGUUAAUCAGUAACUCAGCUUAAUUUUACAGAGUUAUAUAUUUAAUGAUAUUUGUUAAGAUAGAGGUAGAGAAAAAGAGUAAGAAAUGAAGAUAUCAUUCCAUAGAUAUGAAACUCUAUUAAAUUGACCUCUAAUAAGGUGGCAAUUAGGUUUCAGAUGUUGAUUUUGUCAUACUAAUUUGGCUCCUAAUCACUCUAUAUAUUUAUUGAUGCUCAUUUCUUUUUCUGCUUUAGUCUUGGAAUUUUUCUACGUGAUUGGAGACUAUAUAAAAACUUUUGUUUCAACCAGGUUGAAAUCCUCGUGGAUUUGUCUAUUGAAUGAAUUUGCUUUUAAUGUAGAAGUAAAUAAAUCAGAUAAAUUCAAGAAAUAUAUAAAAGAAAUAUUCAAUCAAGUGGUGUUUUGAAUACAUGUUUAUCACUUUUGCUCUUUGAACAAUACAUCAAGUUAAUAAGAUGAUAUGGUGGUUUGAAUGAAGGAACAUAAGGAUUAGUCACAUUUUUCAUUAAAAAUAACAAAUACAUCAAGUUAAUUAAGGAGGUUUGAUUAUUUUUGUGCAAGAUAAAGUCUUAAGAAAGCAACUUCUAAAGUGUUGGCGAAAGAGAAAUAAAUCUUCCACCAAACAAGUAAAGUCCAACCUCACAAGUUAAUAUAUAUCUCAUCUAACCAACCAUUUAUUGACACGUUAUACCUUACUAUGCUUGUAAUCUUCACUUUAAAUAUUCUCUUAUAUUAUAUGUCAUAACCCUUAUUAUAAGCUAUAGUUUGCGUUUAGGCCACAACCAAAUAAUUUAAUGAAGGCAAUGAUAUCUUAGCUUUCCCUCAUCAUAUUAUUGAUCUUGCUUCUUCAUUGCUAAGACCAAAAUGAGAGGAAAUUAAAGGAACCUAUUCUUUAAACAAGGCAUGCCUUCUUUUAAUAAUUACUUUCAACACCCCCACCUUCUCCUUCUCUUUCACAACCAUGGAAGAAGAUUGGAACAUGCUUGCUGCUGAUUGUGUUGUCAUAUCAUGCUGCUGCCAAUGCUUGGUUCUGCAAAUUCUUGUGCUUGUAUUGCGAAAGAUGGUGAGAAAAACAAGAGAAUAUGGUAAGAAAAUAUUUUGUCAAAGGAAGGGGAAUUAUAGAGGGGUGCAAAGAGAAAUGGGGUCUUAUAAAGAUGUGGUUUUGAGAAUUCAAGAAGAUUAUGCACUAAAAGAUGAUGAUGUACACAAUUGUGGUUGUUGUAUGGUUGAAGUUGAGAAAGUAAUGGAGGAACUUUGUGAGAAAGGAGAGUUUGGAUUUGGAAGCUUUUGGGGUAGGAAAGAGCCAUGGGGUUUUCCUCAAGUUGUUAAUGAUCAUUAUGAUGAUAGUUUUGUAAGAUAUCAAAUAAUUGAUUUGGGACCAACAUAGUGUGACGGUUGAUAGAUAACUGAAUCUCUUAAGCAUGUGGUAAUUAGUUCGAUCUUUAGUUGAUAUGUAUAGAAGAGUAUUUGUUGAGAGAUCUCAACCAUUUAAAUGAAUCUUCGUACUUUAGAAAAUUAAAUGAUUUGGUUGGUUCCUUCAGCUAUGCUUAACAUUGCCACAUAUAUACAAAAAAAGAUUAUUCUAGUUACCAAGGAUGCAACUCGUACUUCACAAAUUAGUGGGACCAAAUCUUACUAUAUCAAUGUGAAAAAUGUGUUGAUAUUCUUCAAGUCUUAAGGUUAAUUAUGAUCUUGAUAAUCCUUAUGAUAUUUUUGUAUGAUUUUUUUGGGCUAAUUAUGUUUGGACUCAUAUAUACCUCGUUGCGUAAAUAAUCAUGAAACGUGCGGCAUCAAAUAAGUGUAGAAAAUAUUUUCUUAAAAAUAAAAAGGUUAAUAGUGUUUUUCACCCCUGUAAUAUAGGUCAUUUUCGGUUUGAUUUGCAUCCUUGUAAAACUAUUUUUUUCGGAAAACACAUCUCCCCCAUAUGACUGUGCAUAUUUGCUGACGCGGUACAUUGUGUGGCAUGCUGACUGUAUAAUUAUUUUUAUAAGGGUACACGUGGCAUUUGUGCCUUUUUUUUAAAAAAAAUAUAAUAUAAAUUAAUUUAGAAAUAAAAAUAAUUUGAAAAUAAAAAAAUUCAGGAAAUUUUUUAUUACGAAAAAUAUUUUCCAAAUUUCAUAUUUUUUGCUUAAAAAAUGAACUUUUUUAUUUCAAAAAUUUCGUAAAAAAAAUGAUUUUUUUCUAAAAUUUUAGAAAAAAAAAUCUGAAUUUUUUCUAAAUUGUAUCCAGAUUUUUAAAAAUAAAAUAUUUUCCAGAUUUUUUUUCGAAAAAAAAAAUCUGAAUUUUUUUUUAUAAAUUUCGAAUUUGUUUUUCCUAAUUUUAAAUUUUUUUAUUUUUGAAAAUUAAACUCCAGAAUCUUUAAAAAAAAAAAUUUUGAAAUAAAAAAACAAAUAUUUUUUCUGAUUUUUUAAUAUUCGAAUUUCGGAAAAAAUCUUAUCGUUUUUUGUGAUUUUUUAUUUUUUGGAUUUUAAUUUUUUUUGGAAAAAAAUCUAAAUUUUUUUCUGAUUUUUGAAAAUUAUUUUUCAAAUAUUAAAAAUAAAUAAAAUUUUUUAAAAAAAAGCCAAGUAAGCGCCACAUAUGCACAUUUGAUGAGUUGGAUGGAGGAGGGGUAUUUUCCGGAAAAAAAAAAGUUUUACAAGGAUUCAAAUCAAACCAAAAAUUUUAUAGGAGCGAAAAUCAGAAAUGACCUAUAUUACAGGGGUGAAAAACACUAUUAACCCAAAAAAAAAAACAAGAGGAUAGGAAUGAAAUUGGUGCGAUGCAAUUUUUAGAUGAAAUGUGUUAGUUUAAAUAAUUGCAAACCUAAUAAAACAAAUGAGCGGGAAAAAAUUAGGUUAAAUUGAUGCAUACGUAACAAAAUUAAUAAAUAAGAAUUUCGGUAAAAGAAAUAUUAUUUUUAAAGUUCAAAAAUUAUUUUAAAAAAUAAAACCGAAUUGGGUUGGGUUGGGUUGCGAAUUAUGUCAAUUUUCACAACUCUUUAAAAUUAUGCAAGGUAGAUGAUCAACCACAACAUUUUCAUGAUAAAAACAGUCAAACUAUAUCGGUUAACUACAUCACAUUAAAAAACUGUUUUAGAAUUACAACAUAUGGUAUGAUUACCACUCAAAAUUGAAAGGGGCAGGAAAAAAACGGUGAGAAGAGUAAAAAAAGUUUCAAAAACUUCAAAGCCUUAAAGGUAUCCCAGAUGAACUAAGCAUGGCCUCUAUUUAGAGGGACUUCGCAACCGAAAUGGGGAAAAUAAUAUGGAGCAUUAAAGGAAGCGGACAAAUUGUGCACGCAAAAACCGAAGAGAUAAGUGCACAUGUUUAAAAUUAAUUUGAAACCAUUUGAUUUGGUUUAGUGGUGUUGACAUGGGACAUUGUUUUACUCUUAAGAGACGUUGUUUUACUCUUAAGAUUUCACGUUCGAUUUCCCAAACUUUGUUCUGACUUAAAAUGUGGGUCUCGCAAGUGGAUGGCAGGAUUUGAUCCCUUGGAUUAGUCAGUCAUUGAUUUGGAUACCGAGCUUUAAAAAAAAUAUAAUAAAUUUAUUUUUAACAUUUUCUGGUAGCUGAAAAUCUGUAAUAUAAAAUUCACAUAAAUAAUCUUCAUGAGUUUAGCUCAGUUGACAUUGCAUAUUAUAUGUAGAGAUUGGGGUUCGAAUCUCAGACACGUCACUUCUCCACAUUUAAAAUAUGUGAAUUCUAACUACUACACUACUUGACAAAAAAAAUCACACAAAUUCACAUAUAUUUUUAGGCAUGCACAAAUUCAUCUUAGACAAAUAUAUUACUACUAAUUAAUUUCUUCGUGUAGUCAACAUCUAUUGACCAAUAAUUUUUAGACCCAUUCUUUUUUGGAGAAUGCUAACCGGCAUCUUAAAUGCAAUGAUUAAGCAUCUAAAACAAGUAAGUUUUCAUUCCAAGAUAAAAAAUUUAUUUAUAGAUUUCUUAAUCAUUACUCUGAAGGCACGGGUUAACAAGACCUUAUUUAUUUUAAUGGACAAAAUAACAAUAAUCAUUCAAGAUUCUCACAUAUAAAUAAUGAGUAAAAGUUCGAACCCCAAUAACAAAAUUCAAAUUACCAAUUUAGUACUUUUUGUCUUAUUAAAAAAAAUUGGUACUUUUUGGUAGUUAAGUUAGGAUGUGUGUGGAAUUUUCAGACCCAAUUCUUCAUAGUAAGUAUGACCUCUAAACUAAAUUGACGGCGGAACAACCAUAUUAAUGUUAGCAAAUGGACAUAAUUUACCCCUAGUCCAAAUUUUUUACCUAAACAUAGCUCUUUCCACGCAAAGGAAUGAAGAAUGUUCCCAACAAAAUUGGUGAAAAGAAAAUAACUCAUCCAAUCCAUGACCAUGAUUCAUCCUUGACUUGCGUUAUCAUAAUAAUAUUCAUUUAUCACCAAAAUUCGGUUUUAUUACUAUGCAUUUAUGAUUAAACCAACCGAGACGCGUUUUCUCUCAAGCCUUUGAACCAUUCCAAUUUACCAAUCAAAUAUAUCAUUAUCACACCUAGCACAUCAUAACAAUACACCCAAUUCAAACCCUACAUACAUUAUCUCCAUCAUCACCAAGCAAAACAAACAAAAAAAGAAACCACCUUUCAAAAACAUCAAAACCAAAACAUUAACAUUAACAAAAACAAAAAAACAUUUGAUCUAUCUAUAAGUUUUCUCUCCUCCUCAAGGCCUAGGCCUUCACCAACCUACCACCAUGUCAAUGCUCCAAACCGAUGAUCAAAUCAAACAAUUAAACGACAUAUUCAAGCGUUUUGACAUGGAUUCCGACGGCAGCCUAACCCACCUCGAGCUCGCGGCACUCCUCCGCUCCCUCGGCAUCAAACCAACAGGCGAUGAACUUUAUGCCCUACUCAACAACAUGGACAACAAUCACAACGGAUACAUCGAAUUCGACGAGCUUGUUAAUGCUAUUAUGCCCGACAUGAAUGAGGAUGUUCUCAUCAAUCAAGAACAACUUUUGGAGGUUUUUCGCUCGUUUGAUCGCGAUGGUAACGGUUACAUCACCGCGGCUGAGCUUGCCGGAUCCAUGGCAAAGAUGGGCCAUCCUCUAACAUACCAUGAGCUUGCUAACAUGAUGGCUGAAGCUGAUAGCAAUGGUGAUGGUGUUAUUAGUUUCAAUGAGUUUGCUACCAUUUUGGCUAAAUCAGCUGCUGAUUUUCUUGGUGUUAAGGUGCACUAGAUAUAUGAUUAAUCAACCUUCUUGAUGAAAGUUAAAUCAUGGAGUUUUAUUUCUGAAAACUUUUAUUGUUUUUUUUUUCUAAUUGUUAUUAGGUUAUUGGUGUUAAGGAGGAAGAAAAAGAUUAAAAAAAAUUGUCGAACCAUAAAAAAGAAUUGAAAAACAAUUAAAUAUGUUUGACAUGAAAGUUGACUACUAAUUGUUGUAAUGUAAUUUGUAUAUAUCUAAUCAGUUUUUGUGAAUGCAGUUGUUAUUGAUCUAAAUUUGUUAAUUAGAAUUUAGAAAUGAAUGGGACGGUUUCUUUGUUAUUUACUAGAGUUUAUUGUUUGUUUUUCAACUUGCUAGAGUUUUGAAGACUUUUCAUGCAUACAAGUAGAUGAAAUAUAUAUAAUUGAUAAUUGACUAAUAUAUGAUUGAAAUAUAUAAAUAUCGAAAAAGUAGAUGAAAUAUAUGAUUGACUUUGAAGACUUUUCAUGCAUACAAGCAGAUGAAAUAUAUAUAAUAUAUAAUUGACUAAUAAAGAGAGGAUGAAACAAGGGACUCUCAACAUCAACGAGUGAGGUUUUCAUCGGACUCUCUUCAGUUUUAAUUUUCAUCCUUAAAUGUAUCUUAUCCCUUUUUUCUCUUUCUCUCUCAUUGCGGAUGAAAAUUUCUUGGACACUAAUGUCACAGGAGACAAUCCUCUCCCGUGUUACACAAUGAGGAAAUGAAUUAUUUUUUUGGGGAAAGGAAACAAAUUAAACAAUUCUUUUGUUCCCUUAUGAAAUUUGAUUCUUGAAAUGAUUGAUAAAAUUGUAAAAUUUUAAUCUAUCCGUUUUUGUUAGUAUUUGUAAGGACUAGAAGGAUAUUAAGUUGUGGGCUUUGCCUUCUUUUUGAAAAGAAAAAAAAUGAUAUUAAUAUGAUAAAUGCAUUUCAUAUUACAUUGAAACAAAGAGAUUUUCCGUAGAUUAGAUUAGAUUGAUCUAGUUGGUAAGAAAUUUGUUUAUAUCCCUUUAAGAGAGGAGUUCGGUAUGCUCCAUUUAGAUAAUGGAGCAUAAAUAAGAGGGAGUGGGGGAAGUUGUGAUUGACGAUGGUGGAUGGAGUUUGACGGUGGUAGGCGAUUAGAGAAAGAGGGAGCAAAUAAACACUUGUUUUUUAAUUUUAGAUCUCAUCCAUUAAAUAUUUUGUCGCCGCCUGUAACCACAAUCUUCAUUACGAAUAUUGGUCGUUUGAGGAUAAUAUGUAAGCACUUUUAAGUUUUGAGGUCUAUUAUGUUUUUUGUGAGCUCUUGGAUCCAACUUAUCUAAACUUUUCUUUAUAUAAAGAAAAAAAAUAAAAACAGAUUGAUGAAUACUUAUUCCGCUUUGGAUCUUCUAAAACAGAAAUUUCAUAGGGACCUUCAAAGCUAAUUUUCCAUCCCAUGAUUCUUAAAAACAGCACUUGUCCCAAAUUACCCAUCUAAACGAACGACAAACACCUUUUUUUUUAUCUAAUUUACCGAUCAAAAUGCGAGAAAAUGAUAUUUUAUUAUAGUUCAAAUUGGUAAAUUCAAAGGGUGUGAAUUUUUAUUUUUAAAUGGUAGAGGGUAGAAGUAGCUCCCUCAAAUGAAAUAGUAAAUUUAUUUAUUUAUUUUUAUCAAAAUAUUUCAUUAGAUUUUGUUUGCGAGUUUGUAGGGGGAGACUUGGAAAAAAAGGAAUGAGCAAGUGGAAAAAAAUAGGGAAAAAUGAAAGGGGAGGGCUUUGUGGGUUAACUUUUCAUCAUAAUACCAAACCCUCCUCAUAUGGGAUAACUAAAAAAAUGUAUUGGGGGAGGGUUUAUAUGAAUUCUUCAAAAUUAAUCUAUGUUGUUAUAUUAUUUUUAAAAUUAAAAAUAUAGUAAUCAUAUGCAUUAAUUUAUCAUUCUCUAAAAAACUACACUUUUAAAAAAUUUGAAAGAUUUCUUCAUUUUCCCUCGUAUUUUCCACCCCUCAAAGCCUUUCCUUCCCCUUCCCUCCAAACUCGCAAACAAAGCCUUAGUUUCCUUAACCUAUGUGUUCUUAGUCCAAUGUGUAGUGAUCCCAUUUGAAAAUGGAAGGUUUUGAAGUAUAAAAGAGUCCUUGGGGCAUGCGCAUGCCUGCCCAAAGGCACAAAACACCCUAAACCCAUGAUUCAUGAAUAGGAAGUUUGUGAUCAGCUUAUAAUAGAAAGACGGUAGUUCAUUGACAAAGUUGAUUUUGAUCCAUCAACAUGAACACUAAUGUCCCAAAUUAACAAAGCUUUAGUUUCAAUGAUAAUAAUAUCACACAGUAAUAACUCACCAAGUUAAUUAACAGCAAGUGGCAUCAUGAAAUCUUGUAGUUUUUCUUUUCAAUUUCAGUAAUCAAGCAAAUGUUGUAAAUGUCUUCAUUGUUAUAGUUACAAAUCUAGGAACUCUUCCUAAGCAUGAAAAUACAAGAUCAAAGAAAAUUUAGAAACUUUAGGUGUAUGGUAUCAUGUAAUUCAACCACAAUAUGAUUGAAAUCUGGUGACAUACAUCUAAAAACAAUAUACAGCAACUAACAGUGCAGAUUAAACCCAAUGUUAGUCAUUUUUAAUUUGAUGCAGUACUAAGACAGAGAGAAUGGAUUUAGGGUGAGAGGUGAGAGUACACACCUUAUAUAAAUAAUGAUAUACAUCUCAUUCAAAUUUAAGUUGACACAUUCCUGAGGUCCUUGGCACAUCAGAUAAUGUUUUUGAGAAUGUCGUGCUUCUUCUUUAGGUCCAAUGAACUAUCAGCAGUAAUCAUCAUUGUCUCUAAAACGAGUCCUUUUUGCAAAACAAGCUCAACAAAUGACACCUCAUCUGGAAAUCCUUGAAAUUCUUUAAAUUGAAUAAAGGUAAGGUGGGAUACGAGACAAUUAGGAACACUUGGCAGUGGAAGGUGCAAUAUUCAACUUUCAACUAACUAUUGGGGAAAGACAUCAAGAUACGCUUCCACGACUUUGUGUAAGUUGUACAUGCUGAAAUCCUGGCCAAAUGUGAUUCGGGUAAUGUUAAGGUACUCAAGAUCAGGCGCAUUUAUUUCAAGGUAAACCCCAACUUCAUCAUCCUCAUUGGCAAUUUCCAACCUUCUUAAGGAAGGUGGGACACAAACUUUGUCCAAGCUUUGCGGAGAAAAACUAAGAUUAGAGGAAGUCUACAUUCAGGGACUAAAUUGACUAACAAAGUCUGCAUUCAGGGACUAAAUUGAAUAACAAAGUCUACAUUCAGGGACUAUUUUGACGAUUUCUUAGCUACUAACGUGACUAAUCUCCAAGAAAAGAAAACAAUUAGUUCAACGUUAUGCAUGCAUGCAUGCCUGAGGUGAUACGAGGUUAGAGGAAGUGAAGCUGAGGUAGGUUGAAACAAAAAAAUUAACUUUCUUUUUUUCCUUCAAACAAAAAAAUUAACUUUUUUUUUUUUGAGAGGAGAUUUUAAAUAACUUUAUUAUUUUGAAUAUACUUUUGAAGAUAUGUUUGAGUAGGUAUUUUGAAAAUUAAAUGAUACUCUUCUGUCCCAGGUUAAGUGAGUUAUUGUGAAAUAUAAAUAUAUAAAGGUGCAAAGAAUCAUAUGAUGGCACUAAAAUGAAAUUCUCAAGAACACAUGAUAACACUGUUCUAUUCUUUACAAAAGAAAACAGCUCUAUCCCAUCCCAUCCUAUAAAUAACUCUUGCUUUUAUAUAUACAGCAACUGCUUCUAUCUUUGACCAAAAAAAAAGUAACUGCUUCUAUCUGUAAUGCAAAAGAAGGUAUAUGAAACCUAUGUAACCUUAAAAAAGCCAAAUCAGAUCUACAGUCCUACUUUCCUUAAAAAAGCCAAAUGUAGGUUGUUAUGCACAAUGGAUGGGAAUCUAAGCAGCAUAUUCUUCUAGUUGGGAUGAGCUGCCAAGAAAUUCCAUCAUGACUAUGUGCAAAGACAAAUACCAUUUUCAAGAGCCUAUGCACAGACUACGUGAUUUCAUGACCGAAACAAUAAUAUAUCAAAAUAUAUUAUCUAUGUUUAAUAAUUUUGUCCGACAAUUGGUUUGCCUUGGCAGCUAAGCGAGCAGUUGAACCGACAGUCAUUGGCUGCAAUGAUAUUUGCCGGACCAUAGCACAGUACUCAGGAUCCUCAGUCUUCCCUUCAUACCUUAUCCACUGUACCAUUUCGUGAUACAUUGGAAAGAACCGCAUCUGAAUUGCUUUGUAUGAGAAGUAUGGUAUAAGAGUUGAGAUCACCACAAAGAAUGUGACUAUCCAAUAGGAAGACGAAGGAGCAAGAGCUUCAACGAAGACUGCGUAAGCGUUUUCCGAAAACCUUGGAGGAAGUGAUCCAUAGAUUAUGAGAAAAAUGUACCAGAAGAAAAUGGAACCCCAGAUGAAAAAAUGUUGGAUCAAGGUGAAGUAACUUAUAGAUAAUGCCAUUUGCAAGUUUACAACCCAAACUACGCAAGUGUACAUGGUUGUUCCAAGUAUUUCUCUUCCGGCAGUAUUUCCCUCGUGAUCAAAAGCUUGGAGCUCCAUGGCUUUGGUGCAGAAGAAGAAAAUUAAUAAGGCGCUAAAGAAUCCGUUAAGCAUCCAGCUGAGUACUCGACGCCAGCUGAAAAGGACAUUUUGCACUCCUUCUUGAUAUAACAAAGGAAACUUGAGGCAGUACCGAGCAGAUACGUCUUGGUCGAAUACACCAAGAGCGACCACAGGAAGUGAUGAAAAGAAGACGUUAUAGAGAGCUAAAAACCAGUCGUUGUAUGCAGGUUCUCCGGAGAAUGAUGCAUACACCUCAUACAAGAAUAGAGUGAAACCAAAUGUGACAUUCUUGUAGAAAAAAUAGCAUAUCUGUCAGAAUAAACAAUUAACACGUUAACAGAAUACCAAACAGUCAGUCAGAGGAACUUCACUAUAAUCUAGAGAUCCAAUUAUAGGCACAGUAAUAUUAAUACCAUCGAUGAGAUCCUCCGGUAACACCAAUGGCCGUGCACCAGAAGUAAUCGUUCCAAAUAUCGGAAUUGUGCAAUUGCAAUAUCACUAGACAUAACAGCCUGUGGAAUUAGAAGGGGAAAAAAGAUAAUGUUGUUUAGAAUAAAGAAAAAAGUAAAAUUCAAUGAAAAAAACAUGAAUAUUGUGUGAAUUUAUGCAGCACCUGCAUUCCUUCAACACCACUUAUACCAACUCCGAUAUCAGCUUCUUGAAGCAUUCCAACAUCGUUAGCUCCAUCGCCGAUAGCUAAUGUUGUUUUCCCGGUUCCAGAUUUGACCAAUCUAGUGACCUUUAAGAUAAAAAUUAGAUAAAUUAUUUCCUAUGAGGCACUCAUAAAGACACUAGACACAACCUUGACACCAGUAAUAAUAAUUUGAAAAGGAGAAUAAUUGUUUCUAAAAUGUAACCAUAUUUUUUAUCAGGACCAAUAUAUAAACACUGGAUCUUUCAAAAACCAAAAUAUAUGAACACAGGGUAGACUGAAAAAUACCAGCGCCUUCUGUUUUGGCGAUGAACGACAACAAAUAACAGAUGCACAACGAAUUGCAAGCUCGAGAAACAUGUUCUUCAUAUCAUCCUCAAGUGCAUAAGCAAGUGACUUCCCAUCAAUGAUUAGCGCAAAUGCCUGCUGAGAAAACCCUCUGUGUGCACUAAGCUGUGCAGCACCUUCACGUAACUGAGAGAGGACACUUUGCCUUGAUGUCUAAAAGAUGAAUCAACGAAAAAUCAGGAUACAAGUUUCCAGCUCUAUACAGUAUCAUCACAAGAACACUAACAUACCAUGAAAUCAUAGUGAAAAACUUAAAUCAUCAAUAAAGGUAAAAUAUACCAACUACCAAGCAAUAUAAAACAACUGAAAGUAUACCAGCUUGCACUGUCACCCUUGUACCCUUAGAAACAGAAGAGUAAUGCUAAGCUUAUGCAGUUACAGUAAUUCUUAAUAUCGCUUUACUAAACUGUUUUGUUCAGAAAACCAGAAUGGAAUCUAAGUUCAAAACGUCAGCAUUAUAAAGCAGAUUAAGCCGCCAUUUCUACUAUAAGAUAUGUUACUAGAAUAUUGCGAUGUUGAAGAGAACCAACUUAUAAACACGCUCACUGAAACUAUACAUUAUAUGCUCUAUAGUCUAUAUACAAGCUGCACCAUGUUAGAUAAAAAACUAUAUUAAGAGAUGAAGGUUUUUUUUACCUUGGUAAUAGCUAUUUUGUCGCCAUCUUUCUCCAGAGCUUGAAUUUCUGGAUUAUCCAAAUGAAUUAUAAUCUGUUUCAUUCCUUGUCUAAGCAAACUACAAGCAAAGCUGCAAUGGAGUAUUUGUGUCAGUUAACUUGAAAAGCAGAUCUCAUGAGGUGAAGCCUAUGUAGCACUGACACUUCACAUUGAAGGUGUGUCCCAUAUGCAACACCGACACGACAUACGUGAUUAGGUCAACUAUUUCAUUUCUUAAAUUAUAACUGGCGUUGAUAUGUCAGUGUUGUGUCCAACGUCUGUGUCAUUGCUUCAUAGGGUGAAGCCAUAGUAUAAAAAAUAAUAACAUUAAAUAUAAUACCCAAUAUUGAUAGCAGUUUCCAUUUUAUCCCCAGUCAAAACCCAAAUCUUAAUUCCUGCUUGGGCAAGCUUGUCAAUGCAAUCAGGAACCUUGCAAAAAAAAAAAGUGCAAUAUAAACAUGAUUACUAGUUCCAUUCCAAUAAUAAUCUUCACAAGUAAAACAUGAUUUUUUUUUUUUUUAUUAUAACUAACCCCAUCUUGGAGCUUGUCCUCUACAGCAGUAGCACCAAGAAGGAUUAGGUUCUUCUCAAUAUUAUCCGAUACUUCCUCAAUCAGUGUUUCCCGAUCUGCACUAACUAAAUUCUUGGCCUCAGAGAAUGUGUUAUCAAACUCCUUGUAUUCCUCUGCUGCAAGUUCACGAUAGGCGAGUAUAAGGGUUCUUAGACCUGCAUCGGCAUAUUCAUGCACAUGUUCCAUGGUUUUCUCUUCAAACUCCCUUCCAUUCUUGGCAAGUCUUUCAAACAUGACACUGCAUGAAAUAUCAAUUAAGGCUGGACAAUGAGUGAAAAACAAAGGACAUAAGUAAACAUUCAAAAUCAUUUAAGGGUACAGAUCAAUUUAUCACAAACCUAUCGGCACCUUUACAGAGUAAUAAAAUUUUCCCUUCGCCAUCUUGUACUAUUACCGACAUUCUCUUCCUUGAGCUAUUGAAUUCUAAAACAUUGAGAAUCUUGUACAUCCUGCAAAUUGAAAGUAGUUACUGAAAAACUGUAUCGUUGAGAUGAAAAAAAAUUCCAAAAAUUGUGGCUUUAACAACAUUUUAGAAGUACAAGCAUGAGUUAGUAUGUAUAAAGUGAAAAUCUUAAAUCCCAAACAGCAUAGUUAUGCAGGAAAUAAUUAAGGUUUGGAAAACCAUUGAACCAUUUUUCUCUCUCAAAACUUAGUUCUUUAAAACACCAUAAAGGUGUAAGGCAAAGGUACAAAGUGUACAAACUCACCUAUUCUAUAUGCAGCUAUAGGACCUGUUUGGAUUGGCUUUUUUGAAUUUAUCUACUAGCAUAAGUACUUGUGAAGCUGUUUGGUAGUGCUUAUGCAAACAAUUUUUCACCUGUCCAUAAGCUGUUUUCAGCUUAUUCCAUAAACUCUCCAGGAAACAUUAUGAAAACAGCUUAUCAAAUACAUAAAAACAGAAUGACUUUAUUUUAUAUUUUAUUAAUAAGUAGCUUAUACAAACAGUUUAGUCUACUUAAUUAAGUUGUUUAUCCAAACAGGGUUGUCUAGUUCUUUUAAUUAAAAAAUUCUUAUUGUCAUUAGAUGAUAAGCUGUUAUAAAAUGUAUAUCCGUCCUAAAGUUGUGUUUCCACGUGCAAGGAAAAUUGCAGCAGUAGCAGAAAAAUUCUAAGCAAUUGAAACAACUAACCUUUCAACUUUCUUGCCUGAAACUGGAUCCAACUCACAUGUCGAUAAACUGGUCUGAGCCCUUUUGAAGAAUUCAAAACCAAUUUCUCUCGCCGCAAUAACAAAUGCAGCUUCAUCCGGAGAUUCAGCCUCGUAGGAGACAUUUCCUGUCUCUUGAUCUAUUUCUGGUAUGGCUGUAUGACAUACGGCCAAUAGACGAAAAAACUUCUGGAUAACAUCUGCAUGAGGUUCAUUAACCCAGUUACCAUUCAUUAUUCUUUCAUCAGUAAAGUUAAAACUUUUAAUGGCUGCUUUUUUAUCAAGAGAAACCCUGAUGUGAUCUUCUUCAGAUAUAUCACACUCGUGAACUAACGAUGAACUUUUUCUUCUAUCCAUGGUUUUCUCAACUUCUGUAACACCACGACCAUAAGCUACACCAGCGAUCGAACAUUUGAUGAAUUCCAUCGAGUUGCAGGUCAAAGUUCCAGUUUUAUCAGAAAGUAUUGUGUCAACUUGACCGAGCUCCUCGUUCAAGUUUGAAGUGCGAGCAUGUGCCGGUUUGUCUGCUUCCUUGUAGUACAUAUGGAUAUCUUGAUUGAUGAAAAUGCUCUGAAGGACUUUUACAAUUUCUAUUGACACAUACAAAGAGAUGGGAAUAAAGAAACCAUACAACAUUAAGGCUGUCAAACAAUGAAAUAUAGCAGCAGCAGCCGGUCUUUUUGGAUCAAAGAAAAUUGUAGAGUCGUCAGGCCUUAAAUACCAUCUUUUCACCGAAUCGUUGUUCAAGUCAUCUUUAGUUAUAAAGCCAAAGAAAAUAGAUCCCACGGAUGCCAUUAGAAACAAAAUACAGAACAAGAAGUAAAUGACUCUAUCCAUCUUCCUCUCAACUCGGCUUCUUUUUGAAGGUGGAUCAGUAGAGUUCUGAAUAACCUUAGUCUCAUGACCAGUGAAGAUAACAGCUCCGAAAAUAUAGUCUGUAUUACGAAGUUUAGAGUCUCGCAGAAGAAGUUGCUGUGGGGAAAGGGCAUAGUUUUGACCUUCAAACUCCAAGCUCCCAACAAACGAGUACAGAUUUGCAUUUGGAUCUUCACAUUUGACAGUAGCUUUAAAUUUUUUGAAGUUGAGAUCCUCAUGUAAGGAAGAUGUUACCUCUAAACCUUGUUUUAGCUUCAAAUUUGUCUCGCCGUCUAAGUUCAUGGUCUCAACAUAGCAAACUGCAUCUUCAUAACUCGAUGAAAGCAAUAAGAGAUCCGCUGGGAAGAACUCAUUCUUCUCUACCUUCACUAUAUUUCCUACCCUCAGAUUCUUCCAUGCAGUAUAUUCAAAAAUGCCAUCAACUUUAUGAACUUUAACUCUUCUAUUGUUCACCUCAAUAUCCUGCAGAAGAAUCUUAUAUGUCACAAAUGAAAUAAAAAAAAAUGAAGGUACUAAAACCAUAUUACAGAGACUAAAAGCGUUACUAACUCAGUAUUUUAUCAUAUGCAGGGACAGUUAAAAAAUAUAAAAUCAGCAUUAGUAACCAUUGAUUAAAAAUAACAAUUUAAAUUUUCACAUAAUACAAGAAAAUCAUUGGCUCCGUCAAGUUUUUUUAGGGGUUACCAUUGGCAUUUUACGCUAUAAAGUGCACCCUGCAACUUAGCAGAUUCAAACAUUGAACAUAUACUGGAGUCACAUGAACAAAUAACGAAGUAAUUGCAGUUCUUCCUUUCGAAACAAUACCGAGAAACUAAACAGAAAAGCUACAAUAUUACAUAAGCUGCCUGCCAAAAUUUUACCUUUUGGUAAAGUACUUCAUGGCCUUGAAAAAAUACCACAAAAUUUUCAAUUAUUUACUGAUUGAUACUCUUUAAGCCAUUAAGUUUGGGUCGAAUUAUUUGAGCUUAUCUACAGGCAUAAACACUCGUGAGACUAUUCAGGGGAGAUUAUGAAAGAAUCUUAUGACAUGUCCAUAAGCUCUCUGGGAUAGCUUAUGAAAACAGAUUAUAGCUUAUAAGGAAACUAUUUUAUUUUAUUUUAUAUUUUGUUGUAAAAAUAGCUUAUGCAGAAGCACUAAUAUGAUAAGAACUUAAGCUAUACAUUCAUAACUAAGUUGUUUAUCCAAACAGAAAAGCUACAAUAUUCCAUAAGUUGCCUGCCACAAAUUUACGUUUUGGUAAAGUACUUCAUAGCCUUGUAAAAAUACCACAAUUUUUUCAAUUAAUUAAAUACUGAUAGUCUUUAAACCAUUAAGUUUGGAUUGACUUAUUUGAGCUUGUCUAUUUGCACAAACACUUGUGAGACUAUUCGGGAGAAAUUAUGGAAGCAGCAUAUGCCUCUCCAGGAUAGCUUACGAAAACAGCUUAUAGCUUAUAAGGAAACAAUUUUACUUUAUUUUAUCUUUCACCGUAAGAAUAGCUUAUACAAAAGCACUUAUAUGAUAAGAACUUAUGCUAUAAAUGCAUAACUAAGUUGUUUAUCCAAACAGAGCCUAAAUAAAUAAUUUAUCUCCCUUAUAUUUGUUUAACACUAAGUUAAAAGAUACUCAUAUCAUAUGUAUACAGAAUAUUCUGAUUCAUAUGGAAUCUCUCUCUCUACACACUUGUACUUCAGGAUAGAGAAGAAGGCAAAAAGUUUCAAAAGUAAACAGAAUCCACAACAGAAAGAGCUGGUAGUUAGAUAGAAUAUAGUACCUGCUUUUUCCUACGCCAAUCUUCAAUACCUUCUUUCACAAUAGUUGCUCCAAUAACAACAACAAGAGGAAGAAUAGCAGUAACAGCUCUAUAAGGAGCAAGUUUUGUGAAAGCCAAAACACCAGUAACCAAAAAAUAGAAAUUUGCAACUCUCCUAAACUGUUCAAAAAGUGAUUUUGGAAAGAAAGUUGCAGCAGUAUAUUUUGUAGAUCUAACAUAAUUAUCUGCAAAAUUCCUUAUCACAGCUUCCUCAGAAGCAGUAGCAGUAGUAGUAGUAGUAGUAGUAGUGUCGUGUUCAUUGCAUAACACCACUCUUGAAUAACCUUUACUACCAAUUUGUGAAUGAUCUCCAUCAACAGAACUUGCUUUGAAACAUGUGAAUGAAUAAAUCUUGCUUAAAUGUAGCUUCCUAUUUUUUCCACCCCUCAUUCUUAAGUCUUAACCACCCUUUUUUCAACAAAAUGAAAUUCAAUAUCAAGAAACAUAAAUUAAAAUAAGCUGAAAUAAUUGGUUUUUCAAAUUCCAAGUGUCACUGCCAAACUAGACUUAGUCAAAAUGGUAAAUUUCCAUAAACCCAAUUUCCAAAGUAUGGUCACUGACAUGAAUUAUAUCCUAAAAAUGCUGAGAGCUUCUUCAAAAAGCAAAAGAAAAAAAGAAAAAAAAAAAAAAACUACUUCCAAUUCCAACAACUACACAAUGCUAUCAUAUCAUAUCACAAACACCUCAUAACCCUAACCAAUAGCAGAAAGACCCAUUAAACAAAAAAACAAAUAAAGUAAAAGAUGCUAAACCCCAGAAAGGUUCCAACAAGAAAAUGCUCAAAAACCCUUAAUUUAAUCAAAAAAAUCAAAACUAUAAAACUAGUAAAAAUCCAAUCUUUAAAACUACCAAGAGAGAGAAAGAAGCGAUACACACAACUAUGAACCGAAUUAGGCCUGCAAAAUUGUGAAAUCUACAAUGAAAAACUGACACAAGACCAAAACAUAGGAUAGUGUCGGCAACAGAAAGUUCUAGAAGAGAAUGAAAAAACAAUACAAAAACUGCAGAUUUGAAUGAUGACAGUAUUGUCUCAAGAACAAGGUUUGAUCAAGCAUUUUGGGUAUAGAAAAGACAAGCAUUUCAUUUUCAGAACAUAAACUAUUCAUAUUUAGUUCAAUGUUUUUUUUUUCAAGAAAGUGGAAAAAAAAUACACUUUUUUUCCGGGAAAAUAAAGUGGGAAAAUGCUAACACAGAUUUCCACGUAAAACAGAUAGAACAAAGUUUUCUUUUUUCUCUCUUUUUCUUUAUCUUUAUUUUCGCGGGAAAAAGCUAUCAAUGAAGCUUUUUUUUUCGUCAAUGGUGGUCACCGAGAAGAAAUAGUGUCACUCUCAAUUUCUAUUUGUUUUUAUUUCCUAUUUAUCCAAAAAAAAAUAAAUCACAAUUAAUAAACCAAUAAAUACGACGACAUUUGAAUGAGAUGAUAAAAAAAUUUCUCUAAGAUACAACAAUGUUAAAUUUUUUUAAGUAAUUCUUUUACUAAUUUGAGUAUAACGAUGCUAGUUAAGAUAGAUAACAAAGAAAUAAUUUUUUGAUUAUAAAAAUGAUGAAAAUUAGUGUCGUGGCAAAUCAAAGUGAUGAGAGAAAGGACCAUCUAUAAAAACAUGUAAUAAAAGGACAGAAAGUGAUAUGAUUUUUUUUUUUUUUUAAAUACUACUAAAAAAUGAAAAAUUCUUACCAAUUCACCUAUUGAUUCAAUUUUUCAAUCUUAGAAGUAGAGAGAGGGCAGCACGUAUGCAUAUAGACAACAACGAUGUUUUCUUUAUUUAAAAGAUUAACAAGUGUUGAAGAUUCAAAGCCGACAAUACCUCAUAAACACAAUCUUGUUGACUUCAGGUUGGAUCCAGCCGAAAAGACUAAUCUUUCAUAACACGAUGAUUUGAGUUCUGAUAAAAAAAAUACUCAUAUAUAAUGUUCGAUAAUGCAUCAAAUAAAAUUAUAAGGACAGAUGUUUUUAUCAGCGGUAGUUGAGUGUGUUGAUGAACAUGAAAUGCGCCGUCAUGUAUUGUGUAUUCUAACAUGCUCAUGUUGUUUUUUGACUAGUCAUUCAUUUGAGUUGUUUGGAACCAAAACAUGUUCUCUUGUGUUCGGUUUUUCGUACCUAGUACCAUUUCCUAAAUAAAUUUACUGUUUUUUUCUCUACUUUAACUUUACUUUUUUUAUUUUUAGUAUCAAUUUAUACCCUAAAAUGCCAUCGUCAUUGAUUGUGUUUCAUAAAGGAAGGCUCUUGGAAACUCACUAGUUAAUUUACGUAGCACAUAGACACCUCUCAUUAAGUAUCAUUAAGUAUAUGGAACCAAUCAGUGACAAUUUUGUUAAUAAAUUGACCUAACAUUAAGUAUUAUUUCUAUUUUCAAAAAAAUAAAAAAGGAACAAAUUUUUAUUAAAGAAGUGAUGAAAAAUAGUGUCGUGACAAAUCGAAUUAAUGAGAAAGGACCGACCAUCCAUAAAAACAUGCAAUAAAACGACAGAAAGUGAUACACGGGUUUUCCCUUUUUAUCAAUAAAUAAAUUUGGGUAUUUCCUUUUUAUCAUUAAUAAGUAGAAGAAGUAUAAAUAAAUAAUGAAAAUAAAAUUAAAAUUUCUUAUGAAUUACCCUUUCAAUUCAAUUUUUUAAUCACAUAAGCAAAGAGGGAGAAAUAACACAUAUGCAUAGAGACUCAUUUUUCUUUUGACUCAAAAACAAUAUUAGGACCAAUGUGGUUGGAUAAAAAAAAAAAAAAAAGUCUUUUCUAGUUUUUUAAUGUGAUAAAUCAAAGUUUGAAUAAAUGAUACGAUCACCUUUAAUAUCCAACGAUUCAUCAAACAAGAGUAAUUUCGGUAAAAAGAAAUAAAAUAAAAAAUCUAUAUAAGAUCAGAUUUUUCAUUUUUGAUAAAAAAAAAAAAAAAAAAAAAAAAAAAACAAGAUUUGAGACAGUUUUGCGGUUCUAAGUAGAUGAGAUUUUAUACUAACUACGAAACACAUGAAGAAAAAGAUUUACCUCCUUUCAAUGACACCAAUGUUUUAGUAUGUGUUUGAUUCCCGAAUCUUCUUACAUCAAACACGCGUCUAACAUACCACUAAUCGUGAAAAUUGCGAAGCUAGUAUUUGGUGCUUCGAAAAACCGCGUGUCUGCAUAGCCCCACCGUGGAUCCAAACAGACUUGUAGUAUAAGAUUUUUUUACUAGUAAGUAGAUAAGUGUGUUGAUCAUGAACAUGAGAUGCGCCGUCAUGUGUUGUAUUCUAACAUGCUCAAGCAGUUUGUUGCCUACUCAUUUCAUCUGUGUUGUCUGUGAACAAAAACAUUUUCUCUUGUGUUGUUUUUUUGUUCCUGGUAUCAUGAAUAAAUUUACCUAUUUUUUCACUACUUUUCAAUAUUUCACUUUUUGAUUUUCGGUAUCAAUUUAUACUCUGAGAUACUGUCAUUGAUUGUUUUAUAAAGGAAGAUAACAGUAACUCAGCAAAAUUACACUUUUAGUCCCUUAACUUAAUUUCAGGUAACAGUUUGGUCCUUUAUCUUUUUUUCAUUUCAAUUUGGUCCUUUUUGUCCAUUUUCAUAUGAAUUUUUAAGCUUAAAAUUCAUGAUUUUAUUUUCUUAUGGUCUUUCAAUCUUCAAAUCUAUGAUACUCGUCUAUGUUUGCAUAAGAAUAUUAGAUUUAAAGCUUGAAAAUGUAUAUAAAAAUGGACAAAAAGGACCAAAUUAAAAUAAAAAAAAGAUAAAGGACCAAAAUAUUAUCUGAAAUUAAAUUAAAGGACUAAAAAUAUAAUUUUGCCGUAACUCACUAAUGUAGAACCGUAGGCAACUCUCUUCACCGAUUUUCCACAAAAAACAUUUUGGAGAGGAUUUUCCGCAGAUUUUAAAUAACUCAUUUAAUAGAAUAACUAAUGCACAAAAAACAUCUAAAUAGCAUUAAUAAAUAUACACAAUUAAUUAGUUCCUCAGAUCCACGUUCAGUGGCCAUUUGUUUAAAAAUAUUCUAAAGAUAAUAAAAAUAACCAAGUAAAUUAUCUCAAGUGUUAAAUAAGCUGCACCAAAGACAGGUCGUUCAGGGGAGCCUGUGUUCGAUUACCAGGUAGAACAAUUAUUGGCUAGGUUAGGGAGUGUUUUUUUAUUCUUGGCCAGGCUAGGGAGUGUUUUUUUUAAUUGUAUUAUUUAAUUAGUAAUAUAUCUACUCCUUUUUUAGUUAUCAAAUUAGCAUGAAAACUUUCAGAAAUCAUGUCUCCGUGAGUUUUGAUCAAUUGAUAAGGAUGCUGCAUAAUAUAUGUAGUGGCGGAGUUCGAACCACAAACACCUAAUUUAUAUUUACUAGAUUACUUAACAAAAAAAUAUUUCAACUUAUUUCUCGUUUUUAAAAUUCAAUGCAAUAUUUGUGACUGUUUGCAAUUAAUAUCACUCUUUUUAAUGGUGAGGAUAUGAGACAUAAUAUAAAUAAAUCAUAUCAUACUCAUAUAUGUUUGAUGCAUCCAUUGGACAAGAUACAUUAAUCAUCUUUUUAAUCCGAUUAUGAUGCGGAUUUGUAUUUUCCAUCAUGAGAAUAUGCUGAGGUUAGAAAUAACAUGAUAGGAUUAGAAAUAAAAGUACAUUUUUCAAAUUUUAUAAAUAAAUAAAAAAUAGUAAACAAUCUAAUAAUUAAUAAAACAACUUUUAAAAAAUCACUGGCACUACUAAAUAAAAAUAAUUCCAAAUUAGAAAAAAAAAAAAAAAAAAAAAAAAAAAAAAAGCAAUUUACCAACUAAAUAAAAUAUAUGAUACAUAUUGUAUGUAAUGACAACAAUUCCCUUAUAAGAACAUUAUGCUUUUUUUAGGAAAAGAACAUUAUAGUUAAGUUGUUAGAAAAAUAAAUUAAUAUUCAUGUUUUUAUAAUAUUAAUAAAAAAAAAUUUUGAAGGAAUAAGAUUAAUAAACUUAUUUUCAAGUAUUCUACUAUCCAUAGAUUUAUAAUUUUCUAGACAAUAUUAAAUGAAAAAAAUUAAUUAAAAAAAAAUCAUCCAUGUUUUCUUAAUUUAAAUCUUGUAUUUUUAUUUUUUUGAAUUUAAUAUCAAAUGCUGUUUUAUUUUUGUUUUUAAAACUUAAAUUUUAUCAUAUUUAUUUGUUUCAUAAUUUAUAAUAUUUUAUAAUGAUAAAUGUAUAAAUUAUUUUCUUAUCAUAUUUCGUUGGUUUCUAACCCAACUCAUAUCUAAGAUAUAAAUUUAAAUUAGAGAUGCAUGAUAUUAUAAGAUUCAAUAUUAACUUGCGGAGUAUAUUGUAUUGUCGACAAACCUUUCAUCAAGACAAAAUAUGAUACUCCCUCCGUCUCUAAUUAUAAGACCCUUUUGAGAAUUUUUUUUGUCCCUUUUUAUAAGACAUUUUUGUUAUUUUCAACUACAUUAAUUAUUUCUUUACAUACAUGCCUCUAUUUAUUAUACAUCUUUUUCUUCAAUCAACAAUAAAUAACAUGUUGAAAACAUAAACUAACCUUCUUUCUUAAAGGAUAAAAUUGUAAAAACAAUAGUGAUUACAAACAACUUUAAUACAAAUAUCCACUAUCUUAAUUCCCGUGAUUUUGGUAAAAGGGUCUUAUAUAUAGGGACGGAGGGAGUAUAUUUCUCUCAUGCCUCUUUUAUCUUGGUCAUUAAAUGAGUCAUUGAUUAUUUACCGCAAAGAGGAUAGAUAGAUAAAAUGAUAUUCCUUAAGACUUAAGUUAAGAGUUAAAACAUCAAAAGAUAAAAAAACCAAAGGAACACUGGGAGUUAUUCUUGUGUCACUUCCUAUGAAUGGAAACAAUAGACUAUAUUGAUCUCAUUAUAAUUUUUUUUGAGGAGUGAUCUCAUUAUAAUUGUCUCAUUUUAACUGAGCAUGAUUUUUGAGAAAAUAAGAGUAAUUGUGUUUAAUUUGACAAUGAAACGAGUUUCUUUUACUAAAUCGUUAGUGAAGUUAUUAGAAUGAUUGAGAUACAAAUAAAAAUAUAUUACAAACGAGACACUUAUAAUUAAACGAAGGAAGUAAUAAAGGAUUACAUCCUUUAGUCUCUAUUAUAAAUAAAAAUUGAUAUUUUAGAUUCUUCAAUAAAUAAUGUACGUAGUCUUUAAUAUAUAUCAAAUACAUCAUUUAUAGAAUAAACCUAAAAUAUUAAAAUUUGCUUACAAUAGUAAUCGGAUGGUGUAGUUCAAGUCUAAUCUCUAUUUCUACAAAUACUAUUUUUUAUUAACUGAGUUAAUGUAAAGUUCACAUAAGUUUAAAAGCAUGUGGACCUAUGAUAUUUAUUUACUUUGGUUAUAGAAGCAUCAGUGGGAUACUCUAACUCUCUAAAGGAAUAUAUCAUAUAUUGACAAUUGAGAAUAUAGCCAAAAUGAGAAGUCGUUUUUGUCAAUUAUAGGAUAAUUUAUAUAAGGUUUAUCCAUAUGGCCCUUUUGUCAUGUUUCUCACAAGAGACAGAAAUGCUAUCGCAAUUAGAACAUAUUUCUCUUUGAAACUUGGAUGGGAAAGAAUAAAAAGAUGAUCGAUGUAGAUAUUUAGAGUAAGAUAUUUAAUUUGUAAAGUGACAGCCAAAAAUUUAUAAUGAAAGAGAGUUGUUCAACAAACAUACGUAGAUCGGAUUUUGCAUGCAUCAGCACAUGAAUGUGAGACAAUUGCUUAAUGUUAAGAAUUAACAUAUAUGUAAUUGUAGUGGUUUGGAUGAGAAGAUUAGAUAAUUAGAUUUUUUUUUGGAGAGAGAUUAUAUUAGAUAAUUAGAUAUUCUACUAUACUAGCUAAGGUCUUUCAUAUUUACAAUUUUGUUCUUUCUCUCAAAAUAAAAAAAAAUAAAAAAUAUUGUUCUUAAACAAUACUAUUAAUCAAAUGAUCUGACCAACUUAACUACCAACUUAUGAUCAACUAGACAAUACCUUCAAUUAUAGGAUUUACUUAAUUGUUGUUCAUUUAUAGAAUAUAUAAUGUGUAUUUUUUUUCUCAACUACUGAUCUUUUUAAAUGAUUUUUUCAAUUAUUUUUACUUUAAAAUAUAUUUGUUUAUUUUUAUAUAAAAGUCAGAAUUUUAUUGAUUGAAAAAAAUAGCAUAACCAUUGAGGACCAAGCCUAAACCCAAUUAAUUACAAGUAAAACAAAAUUAGGUAAACCUAUUAAGUCUCUAACAUAGAAAGGCCUAACAAAUCUAGGUAAAGAGUUACCACCAUUGACCAUUAACAAGAUCAAUGCCAUGCUUAGCUAAAGCAUCAAUCCCAAGUUAUGUGUACAUAUACUAUUCAAGCUCUUAGCUACUUUGUAAACAAUUUCUCCGACUAGUUCUGUCUGAUUAUUCUCGAACCACCAUUUUCUCAUUAUUGAAUGCAAACACCAUAACUUGCGAGGCACUCAUUAAGUCGGAUACUAAGUUAGAAAAAAACGAUAUGAUAAAUUAGACUCAGACAUUAUUAAUUAAUGAUAAAGCCUUUUUUUUUGUUUUUACAAGAAUUAAUUGAAUAGGCCUUUUGCUCCUUUUUUUAGGUAAAGCAGGAGAGAGGACAGCAUUAAGGAGAAGCAACGACAUCCUAAUUAGGUUGGCACCCCGAUGAACUCCCAUCCCGCACCGCCACCUUUUGCUCCUUAUUCUUUCAAAAAAUAAAAAAAGAUUUUGCUCUUCGUAAUUAAAUUUAAAGAUAAUAAAAUAAAUUUUCUAUAUAAGUUAUCAAAUUGCGUACGUGCCUAAAAAAGGGUUGCCUGCGUAAGUGAUUUUUUAUUUUUUUUAGUUGAGUUGCCUACGACCUACGUAAGUGAUUAUCACAGCAUUUCGUUAAGACAUGUAUAAGUGAAAUAUUUAUAUCAAAUAAUGCGAUAAUUUUAUUUCACAACUGUACAUUAACUUAUUAAUGAAAAAGAUUGAUUGCAAGUUGCCAAAUUUUUUAAUCUUGACUUUGGUGAAUUAAAAACUCUAGUUGAGAGAAAACUAUCCACCUUGUAUAUGCCUUCAGAUUCUCAUAUAGAGAUUAGUCAACAUAAUGAUGUACACUUUGCAUCUAAUUUUAUUAUAUGGUCACGAAAAAAAACAAAAUUAUUUAUAUAAAUUUGAGUUAUAUCUUGGAUAUUGAUAUAUCUAACCCACACUUCCACACAGGGCCGUCUUAACAAAUUCAUAGGCCCGGUUUUAAUUUUAUAAGGGAUGCAAAAAAAAAAAAUCUGGGCCCCAAAAAAAUAAAUAAGUUAUUUAAAAAAAAAUAUAAUUAAAAAUCACACUUUGGUGGGUCUUGAACACAUGACCUCACACUCAACAAAAAAUAGCCAUGCCACUAAAGCAAGCUGUACAAAUUGAAUAAAUUUGCUUUUAAUAGAUAUAUAAUCAUUAUUUUCGUGUCUUACAUAUAAAAAAAAUAUAUUUUGGGCCCCAAAAAAUUGGAGACCCGGUGUCGUCGCCCAGCCUCGACGGGCUAUGGGCCGGCCCUGCUUCCACAUUAAGAUAGAAAGAGUGGUCAAGAAUGAUGAGAAGGCAACAAGAAAUUCAUGUGUGACUGGUUGAGCUAGGAAGGAUUCACUAGAACCAUUUGAAUUUUUGUAACGGUAAGAAUUCAUGUGUAUGUUUUUUUUUAUGCAACUUGCAAUAUGAUUUAAUUUCGAAAAUAAAUCAACUAUACUGAUUUUAUUUUUUUUAAAUCAAGUAUCUUCUGUGCGCGUAGCUGCAGAGACUAAUCUCUCGAGCUGAGUAAGAGUUUUAACGUUGUUGCAUGUGUAAGGUAGAUUCUAGCCCUGGACUUUAGUCAAGUUAAAAGAUAUCUAUGUCAUCUCAUGUAUCAUACUCGUCUAUAAUACAUGUUAAAAUAGUUCUUUUGAAUCACCUAAGUGGUAUGGUAAAAUGUCCAACCAUUUCACUCCCCGUUUUGAUCUUUUUGAUUGUAUGAUUUUAUUUUAUUUUUUUACCUAAAUUUAUGGUAUUAGGUAGUAUAUUCAUUUUGAUGUUAGGUGAGCAUGAAGUACCAUAUAUACAUUUCCAUAACCAUUUAUUCAACUAAUUAAUUUUACUAACUUGUUGACCAGCUGCUACUGGUCUAUUACAGUUUAGUAUAGUAAAAGAAAAUGUUAAUUUUAUGUUAAUUUGUUGUAGUCAGGUUCAUUCUAUUCUCAUAAUUUAUUAUUGGGUCUUGUUAACCAAUGUCCUUAGGGUACUAGUUAAGGAUUCAAAUAUAGAAAUAAUUUAUAAGUUUUAUGUAAAUAAAUUUACUUUUUAAACUUUCAAUAUGUCAAAUACAUUAUUAGAUAAAAUUUCCUUUUUAAACUUCUUAAUAUUUCCCUUUAUUAUUAUAUGAAACAUUGAGUAAUUAUAUAUUUGAAACCUUAUAGUUUUCCUUUGUUUUUCUCGAAAUAAUAUGGCUUGAUUGACUAAAAAAAAGUUGCUUGCUUGGUACAUAAUCUUUAACACAAAAUUAGACAUCAAUAUUAUAUAUUUGUAUAGUAAUUACCAACUUUUAUGUUACUUUUUCUCUAACCUUGGGCAUUUUUUUCUCUCUUUAGGUUCAACAUGACUCAUUCAUAUAGUGUUGAUUUUCGUAAAUGACACAGUUGAUGCAACAAUGGUUGAUCACUUAACAAAAAAACAUCAACCUCAAUCAUAUGUUUAGACCUUACACGAAACACUGGAUUGGAAGCAACAACCUUUGCACUUAGAUUCUCACACAACAAAAUUUGCAUGGUUUAUUAUUAAUGGGUUGAUAUAUCAGCUGUAUUAUUUAGACGAAUAAAAACUAACAUCAUAUUCCGACACUAUAUACGAAUGAGUGUGGACAUCAAAUAUGAGGAAAAAAAAUAUCCUAUAAGAGAGAACAAAUUAUAGAAAAUUUAAAAACCGUAUAAAAAUACAGGGUUGAUGUCAGAUUUUGUGUCAAAAAACAUUUGAUGAUUUUCAUUACAAGCAUUGCCUAAAGCUCGUGCUUGUUUCUAAUUACUGUUUAGAUUUGAUGAUUUCAACCAUAAUAUUACCACUCAAUUUCAUUGUAAGCCACAGGAAAGUAAUUUAUUAAUUGAAAACAAAGGCUAAGAUGUGUCUUUUGAUAGUGUUGUACAUGUACUAUCUGUACUAUAGUUGUCUCCAAGAAACACAUGACACAUUGUGACUUGUGAGUCUUUGUGCCUUUUGACCGUCUUGGUUAUAUCAAAAUUUCAUUUGAUUAUAGGCGAGUGAAUGCAUGUCGUGUAACAAAAUUCAAUCACCUCUAUUUUUUUGGUAAGAUAAACCAAAUAACAAUAAUCAUUCAUUCCUUCCUUUAAAAAAAAUAAAAAUAAAUCAUAAAUAGAGUAGUCUGGAUUUGAACCUUGGUCCAGCGUACAACCUAACACUUUCUUCAUUUAUCUUAUUUGAUUGAAUGUGUCGGAUAUUUUUGCAACAAAUCUAAAAUCUUAUAAGCAUCUUUUGAAAUUCUUUCUUUGAGGUCCAAAGAACUUUUGCAUUAUAUUGUAUAUUGUACUUUGUGCAAUUUAUAGUGUUAAAGUUAUAGUAAUUUAGUAUAGCAUCUCGUUUCAUACCUUUUCUAAACAUCGAAAAUGUCUUAAUGUUGAUUUGGAAUCUUUCCAUUCAUGAACAUCAACUUAUUAUUACUUGGACAUCAAGGUUGUUUUCAUAGGUCGACCCCAUAAAUUGUAAUUGAUUCCAUUCAUAUGAAGUGAACAAGAACAAUUCCUAGUACGGCUUGAGGGAUUUUGAGACUAAUUUGCGACAUUAAGAGGUUUGUGUUGCUUGAACAGGCUUUAUCCACAUGAUUGACGAUUAAGGAACAAUGCAUUGAAAUAGAGAAUAUAGAGCCAGAGACAUUUUCCACCCAAGUUUUAGAUCCAUGAAUUAUCUUUGGUUUCUCUUGGUAGAAAAACUUUCUCCACUCUCCAACAUGUUUUUUUCUUUCUUUCUUUCUAAUACAAAGUUUUAUUGAAUAGGGUCCGGUGGUUAACCAGAGUCAAUGUAGAUCUUAAUGUUCACAGAACAUUUACAAAUUACACAACAACGAAGUUCUAACUUUGAAUGUGAGAUUUGAAGUCACGUUCUUAUCAUAUAUGAAUCAAUUUCUUACAAACCGGAGCAAUCUGCGUAGAUCUUCAACAUGAUUUCAUAUAUACACAUUUUCUAUGGUUAAAUUCUCGUACAUUUGGUACGUACCAACAAAUUACGUUCAUUUAAAUAUCUUGAUGGUUAACAUAUAUUAAAUUUCACGUAUACAUUUCGUACUAGCUUGUAUAAGUUCACUAGAACAUUUUUUAUGGUUAAAGAUUCACAUACAGUUAAAUACACACAUACUAUUGUAUUUCAGUUGACGUAACAAGUUAGUUUUAGCCGCUUAAGUUCAUGUGCAUAGUGCAUAUAAAAUAUGACUAAUGUUAAGCUAUAAAUUUUAUUUCAUCGACGCUUUUGGUAAAUAAGAUUAAAUUAUUAUAAUUGUUAAUGAUAGAAAAUAAUUAUUUUUUCUUCAAAAAACAAUCAAUUUAAUUAUUAAUUUAAUGUUUGAUGUACCAAUACAUUCAAAAUAUUGAGUGUACCAUAGAAUUUGCCAAUUAACAUACACCGUAUGAAUUGAAUUUGCCUAGUGUCUGUAGAUUGCAUGAACUGAAUUUGCAUACGUGUUAACACGAGUUUCAAAUGUAGAAAAAAAAAAUAGCAAACAGAGAAAAAGGUCACUUGUAUGUAGUUAAUGAAAGAUAUUAAAUAGAAUGUAUAUAAGGUAGGGGUUCUUGGGCAUUAUUGUUAAAUAAUUUGUUUUAAAGGGGUGUAACUAGGAUGUUGCAUGGUGUAAUUAUAAAAAAUCUUGUUUUUGUGAUAUUGGCCUAUGGACGGUAUUUCCUUAGAUCAAGUCUUUCAAAAGCUUAUAGAGCCCAAUUUUUCAAUAUCUUUUAAAAGUGGCUCGAUAAACAUCUCAAUUUCGCUUCCGAUCGAGUUGUAACUUCCGAUCAAUUGUUUUUGCGUGUAAAAUCCAACUAGAUCGUAACUCCCGGUUGACUUUUUUCAGCUAAAUGAUGGAUGGAUGGUUAAAAUAUAUUGCAUAAACUAUUGCAAAUUUAUAGUUUUUUAAAAGAAAAUUUAAAAUAGAGGAGAAAUUGACCAAAUAUAUGCCACCUAACACUAUUCACACUCCUAUUUUUGUUAAGGUUCGUUUACAAUACAAAUAAGCAUACAUACCCUGUAUUAUUUGAAGUGAGUAUACCCUGUUAAUGUUAAGUACACGUAUUCUUUUUUCUAUCAUAAAUUAUGUCACCUCAUAAUCACAUUGGUACAUUGGAUCAUCAGAUUUUAACAUAACCAUGUCAUCUCAUAAUAUAAUAUAGUUCAUAUGUAGAUAUAAUUGGUAAAAUUAUGUUCUCACAAACAUCCAAACCAAGAGUUCUGAUUUCAUUGGCCCCUUGAUAUAUGCUUUUUCCUUUGUGGACAUUCUAUGUUUGAUUAUCAGUAGAGAUGUUACAACUACAAGAAGGUUACAUUUCCUCUUUCACCAUAUCAUCUACAUCUCUAAGUAUUACAUCUCAACCAAAUCACCUUAUCAUAAUACACAAACCAUACUCCAUAAAUAACAAGCUAAAACUUAUCAACCAAAUCAGUAAAAUCACAAACAUCUUCUUACAAUGGCUGCAGUGUUUUGGGCAUUGGCUUUAGCAAGCCUAUGCUACCCUCUAGCCUCAAUCAAUGCUCAAUCACAUGCAGCUGCACCAUCCAAUUUGCCAAUUACAACUUCACCGUUUGUAGCGAAACAACAACCUGUUGUGGCAGCAAUUUCUCCUACUUCUAACAAACCCACAGCCACGGUCACGGCAGCUGCACCAUCGAAGUUGCCAACCACAAAUCCAUCGGAACCAUCAACACUGCCAUUAUACAAACAACAGCCUAUUGUGGCUGCAACUCCUGCUAGUAAUACAAACAAACAACAGCCUAUUGUGGCAGCAACUCCUGCUAGUAAUACAAACAAACAACCUGCAGCAACUUCUCCUACUUCUAACAAACCCAUAACCACAGUCACGGCAGCUGCACCAUCGAAGUUGCCAACAACGAAUCCAUCUGCACCUUCCACAUUGCCCCUAGACAAACAAAAGCCUAUUGUAGCAGCAACUCCUGCUAGUAGUACAAAGCAACCACCAGCAGCAACCUCUCCUAUUUCUAACAAACCCUCGACCACGAUCUCAGCAGCAGCACCAUCCAAAUUACCAACUAUAAUCCCUGCUGCACCUUCCAAGUUGCCAACGGCAGCUUCACCAACUUCUAGUACACCAUCCGCUGCUAAAAAACCACCUAUUGUCGUAGCAACUUCUCCCUUGUCUAGCAAACAACCAACCACCACUCAACCGCCUACAACUGCAAAAUCAUCCCCUGUAAAAUCACCAGUUCCUAAAGUUACGUCUCCAGCAUCUUCCCCUGUGAAGUCACCAGUCCCCAAAGUCGCGACCCCAACAUCUGCUCCCGUGAAGUCACCAGUUCCAAAAGCUACGACUCCAACAUCUGCUCCUGUGAAACCGCCAGUUCCAAAGGUUGCAACUCCAACGGUUGCACCGGCUAAACCACUGGUUCCCAAAGUUACAACUCCAACAGCUGCACCUGUGAAACCAAUAGUUCCAAAAACUACAACUCCAACAUCUGCUCCUUUGAAACCACCAGUUCCGAAAGCUCCCGCACCAAAACCUUCUCCUGUGAAACCACCAGUUCCAAAAUCAAAACCUCCAACAACUGCUCCUGUCAAAUCACCAGUUCCGGAUCCUCCAAAACUCGCUCCUGUAAAGUUGCCAGUCCCAAAGGUUACACCGGCAUUAAGCCCAAAAACCCCAUCCCCUAAAAUUCAACCACCACCACAUCCACCCAAAAAAGCACCUGUUUCUCUACCACCAUUAUCUAUACCACCUGUUUCACUUCCACCAUUACCAUUACCACCAGCUUCUAAACCACCAAAGGUAUCCCCAGCACCUGCAAAGGUUCCAAAAGCACCAGCACCGGCCAAAGAAGCACCAGCACCAGCACCUACACACAAAAAGAAAGCACCAGCACCCGCACCAGACAAAGAAACACCGGCACCAGCACCUACACACAAAAAGAAGAAAGCACCAAAAUCAUCACCUGUUCCUUCCCCAGCAAUUCUCCCACCAUCACCUGCACCAACACCUGCAAUAGACACACCAUCAUCAGCAC
rnacentral:lncRNA from 1 species